UGGUUUGCAGCUUUCUACCUG
rnacentral:misc_RNA from 1 species